UAAUGAAGGGGUUUAGCGCCACAUUCGAGUAGCAAGGCGUCGUCGCCCCAUUCUAAAUUGGCCAACGAAGGGGUUUUGGAAAACCCUAGCUGCCUUCUCCCUUCCCUGUUUCACCCAAUAGGACAGACUCUACGGCCUCCACUAAUAGCUCCAAUGGUCCAUCUCUUUCCUUCUCCCUCCCGUUUUGCGUUCAAUGGCGUACGUCAAUGUCUGAAUUGCAUGUUGUUUGUCUUACAGCGGUUUUGAUCUGGUGGCAACAGGCGAGAACAAGAAGAUCGGGUGGCCCGCUCCUACUCCGACGAAAUCUAUCUCAAGCUCUUCGUCAAGAUGAAAAGCAAAAAGUCGAAGACAGCUACAACUUCCGUCUCUACUAUUGUUGAUUUGAAGUCUAUCAUUCAUCAGCAUGCAAUGUUCUUCGACAAGUUAGUGGAGCUCAUCCCUGCAAGAUUCUACUUACCUAAUGACGAAAAUGACAAACCUUGGUUUCAGGGCCUUAGCAACACUGAGAAGGCUUUGGCUAAGAAGGAAUCAAAGGAAAAUCUUAAGAAAGCUCGAAGAGAUCGAAUGGAUCCUGAAAAGUCAGCUAGAUCAACCCUUGAUUUGCUGAAGCAAAACUUGGAAAAGAACAAGUUAAAAGAUGAAAGUGAUGAUAAUGAAAUGGAUGUUAAGCCAGUAACGUCUGGGUUGGAUGGUGAUGUUCAAUCAGUUACAUAUGAAGAGCUUCGACAACGUCUUCAUCGAAAGAUUGAAGAGUUCCGAGCAAAUAGAAAUACAGGAUGUUCGAAUAGGGAAAAGAAGAGGAAUGAAAGAAAUGAGAGGAGGGAACUUAUUCAGAAGAAACGCAAGAGAGAACAUGGGCCCGAGGAAAAGAAAUUAGCAGGCCACCACUCAAGAGAUGAAGUGGAGAAGAAUGUAGACGAAGCCUCUAAAGAACUUGCAUUCAGUCAUGUCAAACUCGGGACUGAAGAAGAGCAUGGGAAGAAAAAGAAGAGAAAGCUCUCCAAGUUGGAGGAGCUUGAAAGAGCUAAAAAAUUAGACGAAGCAAAGAGAGAUCCUGAGAAAGGCGAGAUAAUCUCAAAGAAGCAUUCUUGGAAAGCAGCCACAAGUAGAGCUGCGGGGGCUAAGGUUCACGAUGAUCCAAAACUCCUGAUGAAGAGCUUAAAGAAGGAAAAGAAACAGCAGCUAAAGAAUGUCGAGAAAUGGAAGGAUAGGAUUGAAACAACCCAGAAGAUGAAAGCAGAAAGACAACAAAAGAGGUCAGAAAACAUUUCACAGAAAAUUCAUGAUAAGAAGAUGCGGCGAAUUACAAAGAGGGAGAAGAAACUUAUGCGUCCUGGCUUUGAAGGUCGUAAAGAAGGUUUCAUCAACGGAAGCACCCCAUAAAGUGAAAGCAGGUAAAUAAGUACGCAUUGAAUCUGGAGGCAAGAAUGGUGAGCAGGAAAGCGCAGGGGGUGGGGGGUCGGUCAAAUGGUGUUACGACAGAGGAGUGGACAAGUUCACCGACCAGGACCAGCAGGAAAAGAAGGAACAUGUGAAUUAAGAUGGGUGGUUGGCUUACUGGAUCAUCUAUUCCUUUCUCACUCUCACGGAGAUGGUUGUUCUGCAACCUUUGUUAGAGUGCUUCAUUAUUUGCGUUGCAGGAUAGCAGUUUGGUAUUGGGUGAAAUUGGUAUUUGGGGCAUGGCUGGUUCUGCCACAGGUGCAGCUUUCUUGUAUGAAAGAUUCGUGAGGCUGCAGAUUAAGAAACAUGGUUUGGGAAGCAAUUCUCCUGAUGCGUUGAUUCACUAACUGGUACACAUGUCUCUUGUUUUCGUAUGGUGUGCGAAAAUAAUUGGUAUUGGCUUUGUAUAUAGACAGUUUAAAGAAUUUCAAUUCAUCCAAAACUGUGUAUAAGUUGCACGUCUUUUCAUUCUAGUAUUACUGCGAUGUAAGAGAGUUAAUAUGACGGUCUCUGCCUAACCCCACAUUUCUCUUACUUUCUGUACCU